AGAGCGAACGCUGGCGGCAGGCCUAAUACAUGCAAGUCGAACGAACCCUUCGGGGUUAGUGGCGGACGGGUGAGUAACACGUGGGAACGUGCCCUUUGGUUCGGAACAACUCAGGGAAACUUGAGCUAAUACCGGAUAAGCCCUUCGGGGGAAAGAUUUAUCGCCAUUGGAGCGGCCCGCGUCUGAUUAGCUAGUUGGUGAGGUAAAGGCUCACCAAGGCUUCGAUCAGUAGCUGGUCUGAGAGGAUGAUCAGCCACACUGGGACUGAGACACGGCCCAGACUCCUACGGGAGGCAGCAGUAGGGAAUCUUGCGCAAUGGGCGAAAGCCUGACGCAGCCAUGCCGCGUGAAUGAUGAAGGUCUUAGGAUUGUAAAAUUCUUUCAGUCGGGGACGAUAAUGACGGUACCGCAAGAAGAAGCCCCGGCUAACUUCGUGCCAGCAGCCG
rnacentral:rRNA from 1 species